rnacentral:rRNA from 1 species
AUUGAACGCUGGCGGCAUGCCUUACACAUGCAAGUCGAACGGCAGCACGGGAGCAAUCCUGGUGGCGAGUGGCGAACGGGUGAGUAAUAUAUCGGAACGUGCCCAGUCGUGGGGGAUAACGCAGCGAAAGCUGUGCUAAUACCGCAUACGAUCUAAGGAUGAAAGCGGGGGAUCGCAAGACCUCGCGCGAUUGGAGCGGCCGAUAGCAGAUUAGCUAGUUGGUGGGGUAAAGGCCCACCAAGGCGACGAUCUGUAGCUGGUCUGAGAGGACGACCAGCCACACUGGAACUGAGACACGGUCCAGACUCCUACGGGAGGCAGCAGUGGGGAAUUUUGGACAAUGGGCGCAAGCCUGAUCCAGCAAUGCCGCGUGCAGGAUGAAGGCCUUCGGGUUGUAAACUGCUUUUGUACGGAACGAAACGGCCCUUUCUAAUACAGGGGGCUAAUGACGGUACCGUAAGAAUAAGCACCGGCUAACUACGUGCCAGCCGCCGCUGUAACAC